GAGUCGGGGCUGGAGAGGUGAGCAAAGUCCGGACCAGGAAAAACAUUGCACAAAUGGGCAGACGUUGUGUUCCACACUGUGCAAGAUUCUUUGGAGGAUUUCAGUGGAGGAGUGAUAUACUUUGGAGAAAAUACCAGUCUGGCAGCACAGGGAGAACGGGCGGAGGGAGAGGGAGAAACCCAGACAAGAAGCUGCUGUGGUGAUCUGGGCAUUGAUGAUGGCGGCUGGACCUGCCAUACAAUGGGACAUUCGAGAAACAUUUCGAGGUUGAGUGGAGAAGCAAAUGGACUCAAGAAUCCAAGAGUGGGGGCUCCAGCCUGCACAGGCGGAUGAUAGCAGAAGGCUGCUCGAGUCUGGCACAUGGCUUGGGAAUGUUGUGCUCAGGAUGUGCUUCUAUCGUCUGGCAGAAUGUGAAGGACGCUCUGUAAUGACCCCUGAUAACACUGGAUCCCUUCUCCUUGGAACCACAGUCCCCUCCUAACUGAUGUUACAGGAUGAAGAAACACCCAAGGAACUCGGCCUUGGGAGGACGAAAUAAUAUGACCUGGGAUCACCUUUCCCUUUGAAUCUCAAGACGUCCUCUUCUGUCUAAAAGGAUGCUUCACCACUUCGCAAAUGGCACACAUUUCCCAGACGGACGGAGUGCUGAAAAGAAAGAGUGAUUCAGACAGCCUAAAUGAAGACCCAUAUUUGCGAUUGGAUCACAGACAGGCACGUUCAAGCAACUGACACGAGACGUGGGAUAUGCACUCACACGGAGUGCUCUUCCCGUGAUUUCCAGCCCUCGCCACCAAGCCCCGAUACAUGGAUCCUGUCUGAUUGCCUUGUGAAUUUUGUCAUAGCUUCAUAUAGUGGGAAUGAGUGUGGACCCUGCUCGGGAGGAAGAAGCGAGAGCUGAGUGUAUGCAGGCAAAGUAGGAACCACACUGCACACACAUGCCACAUUGUGGGUACAACAGCCCCACAUUUCCUCCUUCUUUUUUUCAACUUGAUUAUUUAAAGUUUAUUUAUUUAUUUUUGAGAGAGGUGGGCGUGGGGCUAGGGACAGAGGGAGAUUGGGAAUCCACAGCGGUGCAGAGCCCAACGUGGGACUUCAUCCCAUGAGCCAUGAGAUCACGAUCUGAGCUGAAAUCAAGAGUUGGAUGCUUAACCAACUGAGUCACCCAGAUGCCCCAUGCUUCUUUCUUUUAAGUAUCAGGGACAGCUUGUCACACAGAUUCAGCUAAGCCACAGCAUCAGUUUAGGCUUGUGACUCAGGACCCCCAUAAACACACGUAUUGUUGACAGUCAUCAGGCGUGUCCCAAAAGCAGUAUUGUUUUGUCAGGGUGGCCCUAACAAAAUACCAUACAUGGGGUGGCUUAACCGCCAGGAAUUUACUUUCUCACAGUUCUGGAGGCGGGAAGUCCAAGAUCAAGUCCAAGUUCCGUAGCUCAAGGCCCGAGAUGAAGCUGGCAGUGGGUUUGGUCUGCAGCCUUUCUCCUCAGCUGCAAGAUGGCUGCCUUCUUGCUCUGUCAUCGCACGGUCUUCUUUCUGCACACGUCUGUGUCCCAAUUUUCCCGUCUUCUAAGAACACCAGUCAUAUUUGUUUAGAACCCACCUUAAGGACCUUCUUUGGACUUAAUCACCUCUUUAAAGAGCCCAUUUCCAAACACAGUCACAUUCUGAGAUGUUGGGAGUAAGGGCUUCGACACACAGAUUUUGGGGGGAUGCAAUUCAGCCCAUAACAAAAGAGUAACAAAACAUACAGAAGUCUAAUGCUUUGUCCUUCAUUUACAUGGUUUUGUUAGUGACCUUUGUUUAAUAUAAUAUGGACUUUGCUUUUUUUUUUUCUGCCAAUAGCCAUUACAGAUUUACCCUUACUUUCUUUUCUAUAUCAGAUUGUCAGCUAACUAACAAAGGAAUUGCGUCUUGGUGUCCCUCCCAGGACCCAGCACGAUGUUUGACAAAUAAACGUUCAAGAACGGUCGCCGGUUCA